GCAUGGGAGAAGGGGAGGAAUACUCGGAGAGAAGGUAGAAAGGCCUCUCAGAGGAGAAAACACGAAGGAUGGGAAAGGAGAAGCUAUUCGAGGGAGGAGAGCUCUGGUCAGAAGAAAAAGCCAGUGCAAAGGCCCUGAGUGCAGUCCAUGGACAGAUGUCACUUUUCUUGGGACUGUCUUGGUAAACUGGGGACAAAUCUCAUCCCAUCACUGCCAUGCUUGAAACUUUCCAAGGCUUCCUGACGGGACAUGGUCCAGGAUCCAGACGAGAAAUCAAGGCUGUUCCUGACCCAGCCACACCCGCGUCCC
rnacentral:lncRNA from 1 species